GUCAGCUGAUGAGUCUCGACUAGGACGAAACGCGCGUUCUAGAU
rfam:Schistosoma mansoni, Puerto Rico, WGS project CABG01000000 data, contig: 0032